rnacentral:misc_RNA from 1 species
GAUGAAGAACGUAGCGAAAUGCGAUAAGUAAUGUGAAUUGCAGAAUUCAGUGAAUCAUCGAAUCUUUGAACGCACAUUGCGCCCGCUAGUAUUCUGGCGGGCAUGCCUGUCCGAGCGUCAUUUCAACCCUCAAGCCCCCGGGCUUGGUGUUGUGGAUCGGCGAGCCUCCGCGCCCGCCGUCCCCUAAAUCUAGUGGCGGUCUCGCUGUAGCUUCCUCUGCGUAGUAGCACACCUCGCACUGGGAAACAGCGCGGCCACGCCGUUAAACCCCCAACUUCUGAACGUUUGACCUCGGAUCAGGUAGGAAUACCCGCUGAACUUAAGCAUAUCAAUAAGCGGAGGA